UUGCUUACACUAGCUGCGAUAUUAUCCUUAAGGAGGAGUUUUCUUGGCCUUGUAGUAUUACUACAAUAAGGAGGAGGUAGGGCAGUGCCAGCUAUCACCCACUAUUAUAUGCAUGAUGCGUCUAUAAAACUUUGGAAUUUUUAUCUCAUUUGGCUCCCUUGGUCAAUUGUUCAAGAUAGUUUACUGAAAGCUAGCAGCAAUCAAUGGCUUCUUCAGUCAGAUACGUUUGGAAGAUCGACAACUUUUCUCAGUUGUACUUGAACAACAAACAUGAGUCUGAUGUUUUCAGUGCUUCCGGUGCUAAAUGGAAGGUAAAGAUUUAUCCCAUGGGAAGCGGGCAAGUGUUUGAUCACUUAUCAUUGUAUCUUUGCUGUGAGGACUCUGCCAAUUUUCCGGUGAAUGUAUAGUACAAGUUUGCAAUUACUAGCCAAACAAAUCCCGCAAACACAAAGACAGUUGCGGGGGACAACAAUUUGUAUCAACCGCUGUAGACAGAGGAUGGGGUUAUUUGAAGUUUUUGCCUCUUAGUCAACUUCACGACUCAAGCAAGGGAUAUAUUGUGAAUGAUACUUGCGAGAUCAUAAUCGAGAUUACUCGUCAGAUCGCUGCAGAUGUCAACAAGUCUGUUAAAAAACAAGGAAAGGCCAAACCCGUUGUCAAGCAGUCUAAUUUUGUCAUCACUUGCAUAUGCUGUUGUUCAUCUGUGACUACUACUGAAAUCGCUGGAGUUGCCGAGAAGCCUGCUAAACUAGAAGGAAAGAAGUCUGUUAAGGAAGAUAGAAAGCAGUUAUCGCGAGCCAAAUCCGUUGUCAAGUCCAAUUCGAGGUAUUCCGCCACCGCUUGCACCUGGCCACUAGUAAGAUCUGUUAAAAGAAGAGCAUAUAUGCUUGGUAAGUCGAAGAAUGUUGGAUUUGGUUCUCUGAUUUAAACUAGUUGCUCUAAAUUGGUGUUUACAGUUUUACUUAUGCUGCUGAUCUAUUAUGUAGUUGGUCUAAUUCGGUUUUCCCAGUCUCUAUUUAACUCUUCAAAACUUCUUGUGUUCUCGGAUGCUAAUAUGAAUAUAAGCAGUUGGAUAUGUUCAAGG